rnacentral:lncRNA from 1 species
UGAAUACUUGUCAUGUCAGUUAUGUAUUUAUAUUAUAGUUUAGUUCAGUGUUUAAUGUCUCUCAGGUCACGUUAUGUUAAGUUACCGUCACGCUUGUCUGGUGUCGUCUUGCACUUCCUGUUUUAUUUUGAAACUCACCUUUCCCUCUCGUUCCAGGUCACUUAACUUCCUGCCUUGUGUGUUUUCCCGCUUCUGUGAUCGUCUGCCCCGCCCCUGAAUGUUGUCACCUGUGUGCCCUCGUCUUGUGCCAGUUUCUGUCUGUACGUCAGACACUUUGUGGAGUCGUGUAUUUUAGAUGUUCUUUCAUUCCGUGGAGUCACCAGUUGGGGGCGUCGAUGGCUUCCCGUCAUCCCUGUGCAGCGCUUUCCUCCGUCACAGAAAAAGAGAGAGCAGCUGCUUCUUACAUCGCAGCGUUUGCUCUGUCAUCCCCCUCAUUCUCCUCUCCCUCCUCCUCCCUUAGGAAGGGGAGCACCACACCCUGUCAGCCAAUCAGACCUCUUCUCCACCUUCCCCAUCACAUCAUCUCAGUUUCCAAGUGGGAUUGCCACAACAUCAAAGGCACCUCCCUCCCUCCCUCUCCACCUCUCUCGCUGCAUCGUCCAACAUCCGACACUCAGGAAGAGAAGACGGAGACGAGAUGGACUAAAGAAGAAGAAGAGAGAUGUGUCUGCUGCCCUGCUUCAUUCUGGGCUGACUGGGCUGUCUUACUGCUUUACUGGGCUGGUUUCAGUGUCUUUCACUGGGUUGAAAACCUGAACCACGUGAGGGGAAUCCUACUUCCUAAUGUGAAAGUUACAAUCCUCCCAAUUACAAAGUCAGAAUCAGGUGUGUCGAAGAAGUCUUAUGGAGGAAGAAACACAAGCACAACCAGAAGUUUACCCAGAUUAAAGCACUUUGUUGGGAAGUAAAACUGAAGGUGAGCGCACCUGAAAUGUAAUAACAUGUUGGGGUGCGGGGGGGGGGGGUGGUCCUUGAGUUUCCCACUUGUUAAUCUAGACUUUUCCCAAUUUGUGUAAUCUUGUCGACAUGCUUCUCUGAUUAAUUACUGUAUAAAAUGAAAUCAUGAUGUGAUCCUUACGCAUCUUGUCCCUUAAUCCAUUUACUUUACCGUUCAGUCAUCGGAUG